GUAAUCGUAGGUCAGCAUACUACGGUGAAUACGUUCCCGGGCCUUGUACACACCGCCCGUCAAACCAUGAGAGUUGGCAACACCCGAAGUCGGUAGUCUAACCGCAAGGAGGACGCCGCCGAAGGCGGGGUUGAUGAUUAGGGUUAAGUCGUAACAAGGUAGC
rnacentral:rRNA from 1 species